rnacentral:rRNA from 1 species
UGUAUAAUGACUCUCGGCAACGGAUAUCUCGGCUCUUGCAUCGAUGAAGAACGUAGCGAAAUGCGAUACUUGGUGUGAAUUGCAGAAUCCCGUGAACCAUCGAGUCUUUGAACGCAAGUUGCGCCCGAAGCCAUUAGGUCGAAGGCACGUCUGCCUGGGUGUCACA